CUCUGCAUGGCGUGCCUCCCUCUCUAGGACCUGCUUCAAAAUCAAGGGGGUUGGUGAGCAAUGGCCAUGGAAUAAUAGCCUGGAUAUGGCAGAAGAGAAUGAUGAACCCCACCUCUUUCAUGCCCUGUGAAAUUGAAAAGAUCCUGAAUCCCAGCAAAACAGAUGAUGUCAACAGUUUGAAGACCCCCACAGAGGAACGGAAUCAGUAUGAGAAUCCAGUUUAUUCACCUCCCUGUCCCAUGACUUUACCCUACACUCUUUAACCAAUCAACAAUCUCCACACUUCAGCCCCACUCCAAAACUCUUAAAACCCUAGCCAAAAACUCCUUCAGGAGAUGGAUUUGAGGUUUCCUCUCAUCUCCUGGUUUGGCAGCCCUACGAUUAAACCUCUUUCUCUGCUGCAA
rnacentral:lncRNA from 10 species